rnacentral:rRNA from 1 species
GCAUUUCGGUGUGUAAACUCCUUUUAACAAGGAAGAUAAUGACGGUACUUGUUGAAUAAGCACCGGCUAACUCCGUGCCAGCAGCCGCGGUAAUACGGAGGAUGCAAGCGUUAUCCGGAUUUAUUGGGUUUAAAGGGUGCGUAGGCGGAAAAUUAAGUCAGUGGUGAAAUCCUGCAGCUUAACUGUAGAAUUGUCAUUGAUACUGGUUUUCUUGAAUACAGUUGAGGUAGGCGGAAUGAGUAAUGUAGCGGUGAAAUGCUUAGAUAUUACUCAGAACACCAAUUGCGAAGGCAGCUUACUAAACUGUGAUUGACGCUGAGGCACGAAAGCGUGGGGAGCGAACAGGAUUAGAUACCCUGGUAGUCCACGCCGUAAACGAUGAUCACUCGUUGUUGGCAAUACACCGUCAGCGACUGAGCGAAAGUAUUAAGUGAUCCACCUGGGGAGUACGAUUGCAAGAUUGAAACUCAAAGGAAUUGACGGGGGCCCGCACAAGCGGAGGAACAUGUGGUUUAAUUCGAUGAUACGCGAGGAACCUUACCUGGGCUUAAAUGCAUAACGACGGAUCGGGAAACUGGUCUUUCUUCGGACGGAAUGCAAGGUGCUGCAUGGCUGUCGUCAGCUCGUGCCGUGAGGUGUCGGGUUAAGUCCCAUAACGAGCGCAACCCUCAUCAUUAGUUGCCAGCGGGUAAUGCCGGGGACUCUAAUGAAACUGCCGGUGUAAACCGAGAGGAAGGCGAGGAUGACGUCAAGUCAGCACGGCCCUUAUGUCCAGGGCUACACACGUGUUACAAUGGUCAGUACAAAGGGCAGCUACCAGGCAACUGGAUGCUAAUCUCAAAAGCUGGUCACAGUUCGGAUCGGAGUCUGCAACUCGACUUCGUGAAGUUGGAUUCGCUAGUAAUCGCGCAUCAGCCAUGGCGCGGUGAUACGUUCCCGGGCAUUGUACACACCGCCCGUCAAGCCAUGGAAGCCGGGGGUACCUGAAGUUCGUAACCGAGAGGA